AAAAAGGAGAACAACCGGAGUGGAGAAGAAACGGAAAACAGAGGGAGUGGAUAAAAAAGCUGUUCUGGGAGGAGCAAAAAAACAGAAAAAGAGAAAGGAACGGGAAAGGCGAAGAAAAGAAAAACUUUCAACAAAGCUUGAACCAACAUCAUCUCCUUCAUUUCCCUUCCGUCAUUGAACACAAAAAAUACAGCCACUAUUACUCCAUUUUCUUCCACCCAAAGACCACCAUAGAUCACCAUUUUCCUCCGCCUAAAAUCACUAUUUUCUUUCCUCCAUUUUCAGCUAUGUAAGGCCACCUUUAACCACUGAAAACCAGCACAACUAACCCCCAAAAUCAGCACCUAAAAUACACCCUUUAACACCCAAAACACAGCAGUAAAGCAGUAAGUCCUCAUCAAAACCUCAUCUUCUUCACGUCGUUUUCAUCACGAAAACAUCCCUUUAAUCCAGCCAAAACACCAGCUGAAACACCCAUCAAAACUACCAAAACCCAGCUGCCUUCUUCUACCCAAAACGACCCCAAAAUCCCAGUCAAAGACCAGCUCUGAAACACCCCAAGCAGCCCCCAAAAAAUGCGGCAAAACGAGAUGAGUUCGAGCUCUAAAGUUGAGUCGUCGAGGUCGAGUUCAAGCUCCCUCCGUUGAUUUUGGUCGAGUGUCGUUCCCUAUUAAAUGUCCAAAUUUAGUCCAGCUUUGUUGUUUGAAGCAAUUUAAUAUGAAGAUUCGAGCUAGGUGGAGGUGAUUGCUAUAGGAAAGGAGAUUUUGGAGGGUUGAUUAGGCUCACUAAGAUCCAGGUGUUUCCUGACAUGGUGGUUGCGGAUUCUCAGAAUUUACAGUCACUCGGAGAUUUUUCGAGGUAGCUGCCCUGGCGUACGCAGACCUUCACUCUCCUCCCCUAUCCCUCAGUUUUACUUAUUCAGUUUCUUGUAUCUUAGAAUGUGUAUCAGACUUUGUUUUCGUAUAGAUGCUCAUGUACUCAGUGACACACUGGUUUUGGAAAACUUCUGUAUCAAGUCGUGACAGUUUUAUCCAGUUUUAUGAGAUUUUUACUUA